AUUGAACGCUGGCGGCAGGCUUAACACAUGCAAGUCGAGCGGAGAGAGGUAGCUUGCUACCGAUCUUAGCGGCGGACGGGUGAGUAAUGCUUAGGAAUCUGCCUAUUAGUGGGGGACAACAUUUCGAAAGGAAUGCUAAUACCGCAUACGUCCUACGGGAGAAAGCAGGGGAUCUUCGGACUUUGCGCUAAUAGAUGAGCCUAAGUCGGAUUAGCUAGUUGGUGGGGUAAAGGCCUACCAAGGCGACGAUCUGUAGCGGGUCUGAGAGGAUGAUCCGCCACACUGGGACUGAGACACGGCCCAGACUCCUACGGGAGGCAGCAGUGGGGAAUAUUGGACAAUGGGCGCAAGCCUGAUCCAGCCAUGCCGCGUGUGUGAAGAAGGCCCUAUGGUUGUAAAGCACUUUAAGCGAGGAGGAGGCUACUUUAGUUAAUACCUAGAGAUAGUGGACGUUACUCGCAGAAUAAGCACCGGCUAACUCUGUGCCAGCCGCCGCAGUAACAC
rnacentral:rRNA from 1 species